GUAUUGACCUCGUAUAAGCCUAUAAGUGUGAUAUCGUAUCGUAUAGCGUCGUAUAGGUCACGUAUUGACCUCGUAUAAGCCUAUAAGUUUGUGUCAUUUUUGUCUUAUAUGCUGCCGUCGUAUAGGUCACGUAUUGACCUCGUAUAAGCCUAUAAGUGUGAUAUCGUAUCGUAUAGGUGUAGUAUAGGUCACGUAUUUACCUCGUAUAACCCUAUAAGUGUGAUAUCGUAUCAUAUAACGUAGUAUAGGUCU
rnacentral:lncRNA from 1 species